GAGUAAUGUCUGGGAAACUGCCUGAUGGAGGGGGAUAACUACUGGAAACGGUGGCUAAUACCGCAUAACGUCGCAAGACCAAAGAGGGGGACCUUCGGGCCUCUUGCCAUCAGAUGUGCCCAGAUGGGAUUAGCUUGUUGGUGAGGUAACGGCUCACCAAGGCGACGAUCCCUAGCUGGUCUGAGAGGAUGACCAGCCACACUGGAACUGAGACACGGUCCAGACUCCUACGGGAGGCAGCAGUGGGGAAUAUUGCACAAUGGGCGCAAGCCUGAUGCAGCCAUGCCGCGUGUAUGAAGAAGGCCUUCGGGUUGUAAAGUACUUUCAGCGGGGAGGAAGGUGUUGUGGUUAAUAACCGCAGCAAUUGACGUUACCCGCAGAAGAAGCACCGGCUAACUCCGUGCCAGCAGCCGCGGUAAUACGGAGGGUGCAAGCGUUAAUCGGAAUUACUGGGCGUAAAGCGCACGCAGGCGGUCUGUCAAGUCGGAUGUGAAAUCCCCGGGCUCAACCUGGGAACUGCAUUCGAAACUGGCAGGCUUGAGUCUUGUAGAGGGGGGUAGAAUUCCAGGUGUAGCGGUGAAAUGCGUAGAGAUCUGGAGGAAUACCGGUGGCGAAGGCGGCCCCCUGGACAAAGACUGACGCUCAGGUGCGAAAGCGUGGGGAGCAAACAGGAUUAGAUACCCUGGUAGUCCACGCCGUAAACGAUGUCUACUUGGAGGUUGUGCCCUUGAGGCGUGGCUUCCGGAGCUAACGCGUUAAGUAGACCGCCUGGGGAGUACGGCCGCAAGGUUAAAACUCAAAUGAAUUGACGGGGGCCCGCACAAGCGGUGGAGCAUGUGGUUUAAUUCGAUGCAACGCGAAGAACCUUACCUGGUCUUGACAUCCACAGAAGAAUCCAGAGAUGGAUUUGUGCCUUCGGGAACUGUGAGACAGGUGCUGCAUGGCUGUCGUCAGCUCGUGUUGUGAAAUGUUGGGUUAAGUCCCGCAACGAGCGCAACCCUUAUCCUUUGUUGCCAGCGGUUAGG
rnacentral:rRNA from 4 species